CUGCUCACAGGAGACAAAAAAUAGAAACAUGAAUUUCCCGAAACAAAGAGCUCGAGCUUCACUGCUGAGAGCAAAAACCCAGAACUGCACCAGCAACAUUUCGUUCAGUUUUUUCCUCAGAAAGCAGCAGUUUCUGCCUGAAGGGAAGAUGUGUGGAUGUGGUACGAGUGAAACCUGGAGAUGAUGUCAUUCUGCCAUGUCAGGCUGGUGAAGCCUCCAUCAUAGCUGUAGAGUGGAGCAGACCUGACCUGGAGCCAGACUACGUCCUCUUUUACAGAGAUGGCGUUCAGUUAAAACCCAGCAGCAUCCAUCCUUUAAGGACCGGGUGCAGCUGGUGGACAGAGAGCUGAAGGACGGAAACGUGUCUUUAAUUCUGAAGAACGUGAGCAGCAACGACGCUGGAACAUACGAGUGUCGAGUUGCAACAGGAGGUUCAAGACGUCAGAGAGCCGACAUUGAUGCUGAGCCAAUCAGAAUCAUCCAGCUGGAGGUUUCAGGGUCCAACAGCGGAGACGUCGUGGAGGGAAACUACGGACUGGGAGCACUGAUUUUGUUCGGGUUUGUUUAGCUGCUGCUGUUGGCUGGAAAUGGAAAAGACAUUAGAACAAGAAAUCAGGACAGCCUGCUGCUGAUGACGCAGUGAACGACCUCUGAUCUCUUUCCACCACAUGUUUCAUACAUUCAACAUGAUUUUCAGUCUUUCUGUGGGUGUGAAUAUGUAAAUCUGGCCUUUGAGGCAAAGGGACCAUGAUGAUCUGCUCAUCAACGUGAAAAAAUAAUGUUGGAGGGUUUGCGUACGCGUUGAUCCUGAGAGUUAUCUUGUCUGCAUAUCGUUGCCACUUUAUUGUUGUUGUGCCAUAAACAUAAAGUGCAAAUACCUCUACUUUGUCCGUCAGUACAGUCGGCCGACUUAAGUUCCUGCCCACCACAUCUGAACACUUCAGAGCUGCCUGUACACUAAACAGCUUGCCUCUGUAGCCGAAAGCUGUUGUUCUUCUUGUCGAUGUACUGUAGCACAGGCACCAACUGACAGUGGGUGGAAAUGUCAGUUGUUUCGUCUGCCUGAAUAUUUUUUACUUCCUCCAGAAUGUAAUCUUUGAUAACUGACAGCAUGCAGUCCAAAAGUUCGUUUUGCACAGUCUGGUGCCUUUAAAAAACUGUAGCUGUCGUAAGGUGCUUCUCACACACAGUCCAGCGAUCAACAAGAUCUUCUGAAAACGGCAGGGUUGUCAGAGGAUGCAGUCUUAUUGUGGCUCCACAAGGAAGAGUUAUUCUGUGGCCUUUGACAAUCAAACAUGUCUGACAAUAGAUUAGAAGAUCCAUGGUUUGUGUUUCAUAUCAGGUUCAUUUUUACAUUUAAUCUUUGAUCUGUAAUUUUUUCUUUUCUUUAAGAGGCUGAUGGUGGGUCAUAGAAAGGCUUGUGAUGUCUGCAAAUAUUUAUAUAUAUUGGAGACAAUGAUGGUUAAAUAUUUUACUUUGAAAGCUGCUUCGGUUUUUCUCUGUUUGUAAAGGUCUAUUCAUACUCAGCAGGUUCUGGUAUGAGUUGACUGUUUCCUGUAAGCCAUUUAUAUUAAAUUUUUCAUAUGUACAAAAAAUUUGUUUUCUGUGACUUUCUGUUUCUACCUGAAUGUUGAAAUAAACUGUAGGUUACCUGA